GAGGGUAUAGCUCAGUGGUAGAGCAUCUGCUUAGUAUGCACGAGGUCCUGGGUUCAAUCCUCAGGAUCUCCA
rfam:Camelus ferus unplaced genomic scaffold scaffold2231, whole genome shotgun sequence.